GUGUCAGCCGCCGCGGUAAGACGGAGGGGGCUAGCGUUGUUCGGAAUGACUGGGCGUAAAGGGCGUGUAGGCUGUUGAUCAAGUCAAGCGUGAAAGCCUCGGGCUUAACCCGAGAAUGGCGUUUGAUACUGGUUGACUUGAGGACGAGAGAGGAAAGUGGAAUUCCGAGUGUAGAGGUGAAAUUCGUAGAUAUUCGGAGGAACAUCAGAGGCGAAGGCGACUUUCUGGCUCGUAUCUGACGCUGAGGCGCGAAAGCGUGGGGAGCAAACAGGAUUAGAUACCCUGGUAGUCCACGCUGUAAACGAUGAGUGCUAGACGUUGGGGGGUUCCCCUUCAGUGUCGCAGCUAACGCAUUAAGCACUCCGCCUGGGGAGUACGGUCGCAAGAUUAAA
rnacentral:rRNA from 1 species